rfam:Singulisphaera acidiphila DSM 18658, complete genome.
GGAGAGGUGGCUGAGUGGUCGAAAGCGACGGUUUGCUAAACCGUUAAGGGUGUCAAAGCCCUUCGGGGGUUCGAAUCCCCCCCUCUCCG